UAUUAAAAUUUUUAUCAAUUUCUAUUAUUAAAAACUGGUAUGGCUGACAAAAAUAACUACACGGUGACAUGUGGCAUACCACAUGUAUCUCAUGUUGAUCUAUAGGGAUUUAUUUUUAACAGUAGAAAUGGAUGAAAUUUUUAACA
rfam:Gossypium hirsutum cultivar TM-1 chromosome 6, whole genome shotgun sequence